GACGAACGCUGGCGGCGUGCCUAAUACAUGCAAGUCGAACGAAGGGGGGACGGGUGAGUAACACGUGGGUAACCUCCCAUCAGAGGGGAUAACGUUUGGAAACAGGUGCUAAACCGCUAUGGAUGGCUGGACCCGCGGUGCCUGAGCUAGUUGGUGAGGUAACGGCUAACCAAGGCCACGAUGCAUAGCCGACCGGAGAGGGUGAUCGGCCACACUGGGACUGAGACACGGCCCAGACUCCUACGGUAGGCAGCAGUAGGGAAUCUUCGGCAAUGGACGAAAGUCUGACCGAGCAACGCCGCGUGAGUGAAGAAGGUUUUCGGAUCGUAAAACUCUGUUGUUAGAGAAGCGGUAUAUAACCAGAAAGCCACGGCUAACUACGUGCCAGCAGCCGCGGUAAUAC
rnacentral:rRNA from 1 species